GAUGAACGCUGGCGGCGUGCCUAAUACAUGCAAGUCGAGCGAACGGACGAGAAGCUUGCUUCUCUGAUGUUAGCGGCGGGCGGGUGAGUAACACGUGGAUAACCUACCUAUAAGACUGGGAUAACUUCGGGAAACCGGAGCUAAUACCGGAUGAUAUUUUGAACCGCAUGGUUCAAAAGUGAAAGACGGUCUUGCUGUCACUUAUAGAUGGAUCCGCGCUGCAUUAGCUAGUUGGUAAGGUAACGGCUUACCAAGGCAACGAUGCAUAGCCGACCUGAGAGGGGAAACGGCCAAACUGAAAUUAGAAAAGGGCCCAAACCCCUAGGGGGGGAGGAAGUGGGGAAUCUUCAGAAAGGGGGGAAAGCUGAACGGGGCAACCCCGGGGGGGGAAUGAGGGUUUUGGAAUGGAAAAACUUUUUUUUUGGGAAAAAAAAAAUGUGAAAAAAACUUUGAACAUUUUGAGGGUACCUAAGCAGAAAGCCAGGGCAAAUUACGG
rnacentral:rRNA from 1 species